UUGCAGCAAAUUAAGCCAAUCUCCCUUCCUCAUGGGGCCAGUGUGCAAUGGCUACAAGUAGCAGCCUCCUUGAUAAUGCCUGUGUGAGAGCUACCCUAAGAAACUGGAAUCAGUC
rnacentral:snoRNA from 1 species